AACGAACGCUGGCGGCAGGCUUAACACAUGCAAGUCGAGCGCCCCGCAAGGGGAGCGGCAGACGGGUGAGUAACGCGUGGGAAUCUACCCAUCUCUACGGAAUAACGCAUGGAAACGUGUGCUAAUACCGUAUACGUCCUUCGGGAGAAAGGUUUAUCGGAGAUGGAUGAGCCCGCGUUGGAUUAGCUAGUUGGUGGGGUAAAGGCCUACCAAGGCGACGAUCCAUAGCUGGUCUGAGAGGAUGAUCAGCCACACUGGGACUGAGACACGGCCCAGGCUCCUACGGGAGGCAGCAGUGGGGAAUAUUGGACAAUGGGCGCAAGCUUGAUCCAGCCAUGCCGCGUGAGUGAUGAAGGCCCUAGGGUUGUAAAGCUCUUUCACCGGUGAAGAUAAUGACGGUAACCGGAGAAGAAGCCCCGGCUAACUUCGUGCCAGCAGCCGCGGUAACAC
rnacentral:rRNA from 1 species